AGCAGCCGCGGUAAUUCCAGCUCCAAUAGCGUAUAUUAAAGUUGUUGCAGUUAAAAAGCUCGUAGUUGAAUUUCGGGAUCAAUAUAUCGGUCGUGCCAUCGGUACGUACUGGUAUGAUUGGUUUCUCCUUUCUGACGAACCAUGAUGUCAUUAAUUUGGUGUUAUGGGAAGUUAGGACUGUUACUUUGAAAAAAUUAGAGUGUUUAAAGCAGGCUUUGGCUUGAAUACAUUAGCAUGGAAUAAUGAAAUAGGACGUUCGAGCCUAUUUUGUUGGUUUCUAGGAUCAACGUAAUGAUUAAUAGGGAUAGUUGGGGGCAUUAGUAUUCAAUUGUCAGAGGUGAAAUUCUUGGAUUUAUUGAAGACUAACUACUGCGAAAGCAUUUGCCAAGGAUGUUUUCAUUAAUCAAGAACGAAAGUUAGGGGAUCGAAGACGAUCAGAUACCGUCGUAGUCUUAACCAUAAACUAUGCCGACUAGGGAUCGGAUGAUGUUAAUUUUUUAAUGACUC
rnacentral:rRNA from 1 species